GUUUCUAUAGUUGAAUACAACGGCGGUUUUUCAGGCCGUAGGUCUCGGUUAAAGUCCGUGUAGAAUCA
rnacentral:tRNA from 1 species